UUGACCUCGGAUCAGGUAGGACUACCCGCUGAACUUAAGCAUAUCAAUAAGCGGAGGAAAAGAAACCAACAGGGAUUGCCCCAGUAACGGCGAGUGAAGCGGCAACAGCUCAGAUUUGGAAUCUGGCCCCCAGGGCCCGAGUUGUAAUCUGGAGAGGAUGCUUCUGGCGCGGCGCCUUCCGAGUUCCCUGGAACGGGACGCCGGAGAGGGUGAGAGCCCCGUACGGUUGGACGCCUAGCCUUUGUGAAGCUCCUUCGACGAGUCGAGUAGUUUGGGAAUGCUGCUCAAAAUGGGAGGUAAAUUUCUUCUAAAGCUAAAUACCGGCCAGAGACCGAUAGCGCACAAGUAGAGUGAUCGAAAGAUGAAAAGCACUUUGAAAAGAGGGUCAAACAGUACGUGAAAUUGUUGAAAGGGAAGCGCCCGUGGCCAGACUUGUGCCCCGCGGACCACCCGGCGCCCUCAGCGCCGGUGCACUCCGCGGGGCGCAGGCCAGCAUCGGUUUUCCUAGGGGGAUAAAGGCGGCGGGAACGUGGCUCCCUCGGGAGUGUUAUAGCCCGCCGCGCCAUGCCCCUGGGGGGACCGAGGACCGCGCUUCGGCAAGGAUGCUGGCGUAAUGGCCA
rnacentral:rRNA from 1 species